GCCCUGGGCUGGGUGGUGUCACUGUCACAGUUCAGAGAUGGCCCUGGGCUGGACUGUGUCACUGUCACAGUUCAGAGGUGACCCUGAGCUGAGCUAUGUCACUGUCACAGUUCAGAGGUGACCCUGAGCUGUGUCACUGUCCCAGUUCAGAGGUGACCCUGAGCCAGGUUGUGUCACUAUCACAGUUCAGAGGUGGCCCUGGCCGAGCUGUGUCCCUGUCCCAGUUCAGAGGUGGCCCUGGCUGAGCUGUGUCCCUGUCCCAGUUCAGAGGUGGCCCUGGCCAAGCUGUGUCCCUGUCCCAGUUCAGAGGUGGCCCUGGCCCAGCUCAGGGGCCUCCAGCAGCUCCUUCCCGCUGGCUCUGGGCUCUGCCCCACCUGUGGAGAGCAGGGGGAGCCUCCCAGGGCAGGGGGUGUCCCAGGGGGCCUCCCCCAGCAGAGCCCCCUCCCGAGGACACCUGGCCUCCAAAAUGGGCAUUUUGGUGGGAAUUUUGAGGCAGGGGUGGCUCAUCCUGAUCUUGGGGUGAGGUGACCCCUACCAGAGAUGUCAGCUGGGUUCUGCCUCAGCCCGGGGCACUCCCUGUGGCCCCCUGGCCUGUUGUGACCUCCCUGUGGCCCCCUGGCCCGUUGUGACCCCCUGUGGCCCCCCUGGCCUGUUGUGACCUCCCUGUGGCUCCCUGGCCCGUUGUGACCUCCUGGUGGCCUCCCUGGCCUG